rnacentral:rRNA from 1 species
AGUGAACGCUGGCGGUAGGCCUAACACAUGCAAGUCGAACGGCAGCACAGGAGAGCUUGCUCUCUGGGUGGCGAGUGGCGGACGGGUGAGGAAUACAUCGGAAUCUACUUUUUCGUGGGGGAUAACGUAGGGAAACUUACGCUAAUACCGCAUACGACCUACGGGUGAAAGCAGGGGACCUUCGGGCCUUGCGCGAUUGAAUGAGCCGAUGUCGGAUUAGCUAGUUGGCGGGGUAAAGGCCCACCAAGGCGACGAUCCGUAGCUGGUCUGAGAGGAUGAUCAGCCACACUAGAACUGAGACACGGUCCAGACUCCUACGGGAGGCAGCAGUGGGGAAUAUUGGACAAUGGGCGCAAGCCUGAUCCAGCCAUACCGCGUGGGUGAAGAAGGCCUUCGGGUUGUAAGCCCUUUUGUUGGGAAAGAAAUCCAGCUGGCUAAUACCCGGUUGGGAUGACGGUACCCAAAGAAUAAGCACCGGCUAACUUCGUGCCAGCAGCCGCCGUAA